rnacentral:rRNA from 1 species
UACGUAGGGGGCAAGCGUUGUCCGGAAUUAUUGGGCGUAAAGCGCACGUAGGCGGUUCGUUAAGUCGGAUGUGAAAGCCCUCGGCUCAACUGAGGAAGUGCACCCGAAACUGGCGAGCUUGAGUACGAAAAGAGGAUCGCGGAAUUCCCCGGUGUAGAGGUGAAAUUCGCAGAUAUCGGGAAGAACACCCGUGGCGAAGGCGGCACUCUGGGACGGUACUGACGCUGAGACGCGAAAAGCGUGGGGAGCGAACAGG